AGGCUAUGAUGUGGGCAUUUCCUUAGUAGGUCCUUGAAUCUCUUCCAAGCUUUAUACAAACUCUCUUGGUCAUGGUGGACAAACUCAUUAUCUCAUUGCAUGGCUU
rnacentral:snoRNA from 1 species